rnacentral:rRNA from 1 species
UACCGCGGUUAUACGAGAGACCCAAAUUGACAAAUUCGGCGUAAAGCGUGGUUAAGGGUAACCUUGAGUAAAACCGAAUAUAAUCAAGGCUGUUAUAAGCUCCCGAUUAUAAGAAGAACAACUACGAAAGUGAUUUUACAACACCUGACCCCACGAAAGCUAGGGUA